CUCGUAGGUGGCCAAUUAAGUCAGACGUGAAAUCCCCAACGCUUAACUUGGGAACUGCGUCUGAUACUGAGUGGCUUGAAUUCGGGAGAGGGAUGCAGAAUUCCAGGCGUAGCGGUGAAAUGCGUAGAUAUCUGGAGGAAUACCGGUGACGAAGGCGGCAUCCUGGACCGAGAUUGACACUGGAGGAAGCGAAAGCCAGGGAGCGAAAG
rnacentral:rRNA from 1 species